UGACCUCCGCCUUCUUUUGCAG
rnacentral:miRNA from 2 species